rnacentral:rRNA from 1 species
CCUACGGGAGGCAGCAGUGAGGAAUAUUGGUCAAUGGGCGGGAGCCUGAACCAACCAAGUCGCGUGAGGGAAGAAGGUCCUAUGGAUUGUAAACCUCUUUAGGCGGGGAGCAAUGCCGGGCAAGUGUGCCCGGAGGGAGAGUACCCGCAGAAUAAGCAGCGGCUAACUCCGUGCCAGCCGACGCGGUAAUACGGAGGAUGCGAGCGUUAUCCGGAUUUAUUGGGUGUAAAGGGUGCGUAGGCGGAUUUUUAAGUCAGCGGUAAAAUGUCCGGGCUCAACACGGGCCGGCAGUUGAAACUGGGGAUCUUGAGUGUGCGAGAAGUAUGCGGAAUGCGUGGUGUAGCGGUGAAAUGCAUAGAUAUCACGCAGAACUCCGAUUGCGAAGGCAGCAUACCGGCGCCCGACUGACGCUGAGGCACGAAAGCGUGGGGAUCGAACAGGAUUAGAUACCCCGGUAGUC